GAUGAACGCUGGCGGCGUGCCUAACACAUGCAAGUCGAACGAAGCACAUACGACGGAACUCUUCGGAGGGAAGAUGUAUGUGACUGAGUGGCGGACGGGUGAGUAACGCGUGGGUAACCUGCCCUAUACAGGGGGACAACAGUUGGAAACGACUGCUAAUACCGCAUAAGCGCACAGUACCGCAUGGUACAGAGCGAAAAAACUCCGGUGGUAUAGGAUGGGCCCGCGUCUGAUUAGUUAGUUGGCGGUGUAACGGACCACCAAGACGACGAUCAGUAGCCGGCUUGAGAGAGUGAACGGCCACAUUGGGACUGAGACACGGCCCAAACUCCUACGGGAGGCAGCAGUGGGAAUAUUGCACAAUGGGGGAAACCCUGAUGCAGCAACGCCGCGUGAGUGAAGAAGGUAUUUCCGGGUAUGUAAAGCUCUAUCAGCAGGAAGAAAUGACGGUACCUGACUAAG
rnacentral:rRNA from 1 species